ACAAGACCUCUCAGGAAUGCUGGCAUGAGUCAAGGAGAAAUGCCAGAACACUAAUUCUCUGGUGCAAAGCUUCUCAUUCUGACACUUCUGCUAAGAUGUGCCUGGGCACUGGAACUUGGAGAGGCAAAUGUCAGAGAAAGAUACGUGAGCAGUAGGUUCUGGACGAGGAGGUGACAUUCAGGAUGCCCUUUCCAUCA